AGAGUUUGAUCCUGGCUCAGAUUGAACGCUGGCGGCAGGCUUAACACAUGCAAGUCGAGCGGAGAUGAGGUGCUUGCACCUUAUCUUAGCGGCGGACGGGUGAGUAAUGCUUAGGAAUCUGCCUAUUAGUGGGGGACAACAUUCCGAAAGGAAUGCUAAUACCGCAUACGUCCUACGGGAGAAAGCAGGGGAUCUUCGGACCUUGCGCUAAUAGAUGAGCCUAAGUCGGAUUAGCUAGUUGGUGGGGUAAAGGCCUACCAAGGCGACGAUCUGUAGCGGGUCUGAGAGGAUGAUCCGCCACACUGGGACUGAGACACGGCCCAGACUCCUACGGGAGGCAGCAGUGGGGAAUAUUGGACAAUGGGGGGAACCCUGAUCCAGCCAUGCCGCGUGUGUGAAGAAGGCCUUAUGGUUGUAAAGCACUUUAAGCGAGGAGGAGGCUACUGAGACUAAUACUCUUGGAUAGUGGACGUACACUCGCAGAAUAAGCACCGGCUAACUCUGUGCCAGCAGCCGCGGUAAUACAGAGGGUGCGAGCGUUAAUCGGAUUUACUGGGCGUAAAGCGUGCGUAGGCGGCUUUUUAAGUCGGAUGUGAAAUCCCCGAGCUUAACUUGGGAAUUGCAUUCGAUACUGGGAAGCUAGAGUAUGGGAGAGGAUGGUAGAAUUCCAGGUGUAGCGGUGAAAUGCGUAGAGAUCUGGAGGAAUACCGAUGGCGAAGGCAGCCAUCUGGCCUAAUACUGACGCUGAGGUACGAAAGCAUGGGGAGCAAACAGGAUUAGAUACCCUGGUAGUCCAUGCCGUAAACGAUGUCUACUAGCCGUUGGGGCCUUUGAGGCUUUAGUGGCGCAGCUAACGCGA
rnacentral:rRNA from 1 species